UCUAAUCACUACUAGAAAAAUGACAUUAGACAUCGCACUUUAGACAUCGGUUAGAAAUACCCCUGAUGUUAAAAGUAUAUCUUACAUCAAAUAAAUCAAAAACGAUGUCUAUUAACAAUCUAAACAUCAGUUAUUGUUAAAAAUGAUGUCUUAUUCCCAGUUUCAAAAAAUGAAAAACAACCCGCUCAUUAUUCCCCCUUAUUACAGAUAUAUUCCUCCUUAACCAAAUUUUAUUUCCCACCUUCACCAAAAUCUUAUUUCCCCUCUUUCUUUCUUUUCUUCUCGGCUAUGUCUCUCGAGUCUCGACUGACGACUUUCUCGACCCUCUCUCUCUUUUUCGACUCUCUCGACUCUCUCUUCUCCCACCUCUACUCUCCCUAUCUCGUCUAUCUGGUCUCUCUCACACCAUCGAUCUUGCUCCGACAUUCAUAUAGUAGUUAGGGUUCAAUUGGGUAAACCCUAAUUUGUUUCUAUUGGAGACACAACUCGAAGAAAUUAGCAACUUGAAGCAAUUAGUAGAUUGAAACUCAGCUCUGAGAAACGCAACCUGCAAAUUAUAAGUUCGAUUGGGUUUAAGGGUUUGAUUGGUUCAAUUGGGUUUUAGGGUUCUUUUCCGAGUCUCCAUCUUCUUUUUCAAGGGAACCAAAUCAGAGAUGCCAUGGUCAUUGCAGUAUAUUUUUUUUUGUCUUGUUCACCUUGCUGUUUACGGAAUCUUUCGAUAAUAUGUUUAUGGCUGGGUCAAGAAAGUACUCUGUUUGUUUAUAUCAGAGGCUCACAGAACUAGAUGGAUUUGUUCUCUCAUUCGACCCAAAACCCAUCCCGGGUGUCUUGGACAGGGGAGCUACUUCUAUUUUCCGUCCCCUGCAUUCUAGUUCCUUUUUCCCCAUCCGCUUGAGAUUUUAUGGUGCUAGUCGGUGACUGGUUCAAGCAAAAUCACAUUGAGUGCUUAUAUUAUUGACUUCUGUAGGAUUUGAAAUCAAUUUUGGACAGUGGAAUAAUCUUCCCUUUCCAGAUGGAAUUGUUAUUAAAGGACUGUCAGCAAACUCGUAAACUUUUACCAUUGAUCAAGGUAAAACUUAUAGGUUCCGGAUAUCAAAUGUGGGCCUUACUACCAACCAAGCACGUUCAAUCAGGUACGGACCUGCCCAGCUACAUAUUGCCUUGCAGAUUGUUGCUAUAAUUUUAUUCAUCUAGUAAUGCAAAGUGCAAAACGAGCAAUAAUGUGUAUUUGUGUGUAUGUGCACGUCCAUGCGGCUGAGCUCUGCGCUGAUCUGCACGUUGAAUAUGCCUUGUUUAAUUUUAAUAUGAAAAAUGCAGACUUGGCUCUUUGUUUAGUCUCAAACUAGCAAACAGUUCUCUGAGACCUCUUUCUCUAACCUGGCUCUUUGUUGAGUGCACCUUCUAUUGUAGUGUGGUUAUUCUUCUCCUACUCAAGCUGCUGAUGAAGUACCUAUAGUGUCAAAUGAUAUGAUGCCUUCUGAUUUACUUCAUGCAGUUGCAAGUCAGGUUUUCUGGAUUCCAAAAAGUUAAAUGAUUAUCCUCUUUUACUAUUUCAUUAAGAUAUAAGCAUGAUUUAUAUAUGAGAGCUUGUGAUUUGACAUGGCAUAAUAACUUCUCUACAGGCUCUGCUAAGGAGGCAGAGUUUCCAAAGAGAAGAGUCUCCUACUAUGUGCUGCAAGCUAGAGACAUUUGCUAGAGUUUACAAGCUAGGCCAAAAAUUUUGGCAGUAUAAUUUGAUGGAUUAAUGGAUAAUGUAAUUUUGUGUUUAAUCUGCAUUGGUUGUGUUGAUAUCAAUGUAGUUUUGAUAUUGUAUGGUUUGGAUUAUGUAGUUGGUUUCAAUAUUUGAUGAA